rnacentral:rRNA from 1 species
UACGUAGGGUGCAAGCGUUAAUCGGAAUUACUGGGCGUAAAGCGUGCGCAGGCGGUUAUGUAAGUCAGAUGUGAAAUCCCCGGGCUCAACCUGGGAACUGCAUUUGUGACUGCAUGGCUAGAGUACGGUAGAGGGGGAUGGAAUUCCGCGUGUAGCAGUGAAAUGCGUAGAUAUGCGGAGGAACACCGAUGGCGAAGGCAAUCCCCUGGACCUGUACUGACGCUCAUGCACGAAAGCGUGGGGAGCAAACAGG